GCCCUAGGGUGGCCAUGGCAGACAGAGGUGGCUGGGCGGGCAGUGCUUGGACCAGUGCCCUAAUUUCAUUCUCUCUGCUCCUCCCACAGAAGGGCGAUGAUCUGGAGGAGGGUGUCACAAGUGAAGAGUUUGAUAAAUUCCUUGAAGAAAGAGCCAAAGCUGCUGAAAUGGUUCCCGACCUCCCCUCGCCCCCCAUGGAGGCUCCUGCCCCAGCCUCAAACCCUUCCGGCCGGAAGAAGCCAGAGCGGUCAGAAGAUGCGCUCUUCGCCCUGUGAGCAGCUCUGUGGUUUGCCUCCCCAGAUGGCGGGUCCCCGCUCGCACCCCGUGGACACCAGGCACUGGCCACUCCUACAUCCCCAGCUCCACAUGGCCUGCACACCUGUGUCUCCAUGGAAAUGCCGUGUCUGCUCCCAGGCCUCCCACUAGUCAGGACCAGCUUCAGCCACUUCUUUUCUCUGAGUGGUGGGACAGUUGCAGCCAGAGACUCUCUCCCCUCCCACCAUGGGCCCCUCUGCCCAUGUUUCCUCCCAGGAAGAGCGGGCAGAGUGGCCCAGCCCCAGGCAGUGCUUCCUG
rnacentral:sRNA from 1 species